UGUAGGCCUUUUGGCCAAAGAAAAUUAUAAGAUUUCAAUAAAGAAAAAUUUUUAUAAUAUCAUUUUGCAUGGUGUUACUGUAAUGCAUAGAUAAUUGAAUAAUAAAAUUUAUAUUAUAUCAUGACCUGGUAUAAUAUAUAUGUCAAACAAAUAUUCUAGGAUAGAUGAUGUCUUAGAUGCCUAUCCUUGGCAUUAUAGGCU
rnacentral:lncRNA from 1 species